CCUCAAGUUCAGUUCAGGGCAGCAUCUGUGUUUUCUGUUCACUAAAGGUUGGGACAUUGAACCAGCUGGGGUAGGUGACUGAAUAGAAAAUUUUACUCUAUUCAUUUACCUCCUAGACUAAAAAA